AGGAGGAGGGCCAAGCCUGGCACCCCCUGCUGUUCCCUCUACUGCUGUAAUUAUUCUGCUGUUUGAGGAGUAUUUCCCCUGACAUUUUCUAUUCCCUUUGCAAGCCGGAUUGGAACAAAAGCGUCUCUCCGUGCGGCGAGCCCGUUGCUGUGGAUGCGCGUCUUGUUUUUCUUCUCACAGAGCUGGAAUCAAGAGUUCGGGAACGGCUGUUUAGCUGACAAAUGCCGACAGAAGGACAUUUACUCGAUUACGUUCGACCCGUUUCGGGAACAUCAGGAUAAACAACAUGGAGAUACGUUACUAUGAUACGGUACUUUAUUUGAUCUACUAUCACUCUGUUCUCCUUCCUCAACUUUUCCCUCAGCAAAAAAUAGGAAACGCGCCGCUAAUUCCUUCACUUCAGCCGCUCUUUCCUCUUUCCUCUCGAGACAUGUUCAUUUCUUGUCCCUCAAAUGAAAAGUUUUCACAACUUCUUUCCCAUUCUCUUUGGUUCAUUUCCUCCCUCUCUCUUUUGCCCCUUUCU
ensembl:lncRNA